AAUGAACGCUGGCGGCGUGGAUUAGGCAUGCAAGUCGAACGCGAACGUUUGCCUUCGGGUGAACAAGUAGAGUGGCGUAAGGGUGAGUAAUACUUGGAUAACCUACCUUCAAGUCGGGGACAACAGCUCGAAAGGGCUGCUAAUACCCGAUGGUCCUGCGAAGAUACGUCUUCGUAGGUAAAGUUUUUCGCUUGGAGAGGGGUCCAAGGCCUAUCAGCUAGUUGGUGAGGUAAUGGCUCACCAAGGCAAUGACGGGUAGCCGGACUGAGAGGUUGGCCGGCCACAUGGGGACUGAGACACUGCCCUGACUCCUACGGGAGGCUGCAGUCGAGAAUCUUCCGCAAUGGGCGAAAGCCUGACGGAGCGACGCCGCGUGCAGGAUGAAGGCCCUCGGGUCGUAAACUGCUGUCACAUGUUAAGAACCCUACUUAGUAGGUUGACGAAAGCAUGAAAGGAAGUCACGGCUAACUCCG
rnacentral:rRNA from 1 species